CACCCGGUUCUGGGCACGGUCCCUGGCCGGCCGCUGGACUCCGCCCCCUCUCCUAGCCGGCCAGGCCUGCUGUUUAUCCUCCCGGGGACACAGCGGCUGUAGGAACAACAUGUAAUUGAUAACAAGCCGAGAGCCGGCCAAGGGCUAGCCAUUGGGUCAGCGUGCAAAUCACGGGGGUGGCGAAUGGGGGCCGCUCUUCAAAAUAAGAGUCUCCUUCUUGAGCAUUUCAAAGGCCCCCAAAGUUACAUUCUCGCACCUGUAGGGCGGUAGGGGCUCCCCAUGGUCGAGGGAAAAAACAUCUGAAGGACUCAAUCAAACAUCUGGGAUAUCACCUUCGCAUACCAUGAGAGAAAACAGCCCCUGUACCCUGCUGGCGAGAGGGCUUCCAAGAAGGUUGGCCUGCACUGCCCCGCGGCUGCUACCCUCAGCCAUCCCAACGCGGUCAUGGUUACCCACGGGAAUGCGCGCUCGCUGCGCUGCCCUAGGCCUUUGCGACUGACUGUCCGCGGAGGCUUGUGACAGUGCGGGCGCCUCCCCAAAGACUGCAGGGUGCUCCCGAUCUGCAGAGGGAGUUCCAGACUUCAGUCCCAAGCCAUUCUGGGCCGCUCUUGCACCGACUUAAUGAGGAAAGUGAAGGCCUAGAAAACACGUGAGCAAAGGGAUCUGGGUAUCCUGCUGUGCCCUUUAACCCACAGUAUACCUGGUUCCUCAGCCAGCAUGAAGAAACCCGCUGAGAGAGCGCACGGGCCUUCCUAGCCACACAUAGAGUACCAGGCAAAGACAGGUUGUGUGAGAUCAGGAGAUUCCCACCUGAAUGAACAGAGGAGCCUCCUGCUGAUCGACCGCACGGCCUGAGCCAGAGGCACAUAGGACUCAGUAUCCCAGGCCAGCAUGAGACUGGGAUUGUAUAAUUCUCCACAGUCAGGGCAGCGAGCACUGACCUCCCCAGAAAGAGGCUUUUUCCUCAUGCGCUUAGGCUGUGCUACAGGACAGGUGUGUCACACCUCAGGUCUUAGACAAGGAACUGGGAAUCUAAAGCAGGGACCCAGUCCAGACUGCAGAGAGUAACAUGCUCCUUCUGCUUCCGGGACAGAAUUGUCACCUGGGAACAGUGACACCCAGCUGCAGUUGUCAGGUUGAAGGAGUCCUAUGGAACCUUGCAAGGCGACGAGGAAGACUGUUGAGAUUGGGAACAGGAAUCAGCACUCCAGAGUGAGACUAUCCUGCAUGAGUAUUCAGACAAUUCCUGGGUAGACGCGUUGUGGGAGGACCCACACUUGCCUCACCAGCGCCUCCUGCUGUUGCUGCUGCGAACAGACACUGAGUGCCCCAUCAGAGACCACACACAUCAAGCUUCUGCUGCAUCUGACAGGAGGGGAAGAGUGAAGACCAGGUCAGAGGGUUCAUAUCUGUAAUUCUAGAACUCAGGAGGCUGCAGCAACAGAGUCUUUGUGAAUUGGAGGCCAGCCUUGUCUACAAUAUGGAACCCUGUCUCAAAAAAAAAUUUUUUAAAAAGCCCCAUUGAUUCACAAGUCUUGAUGUGGGGGUCCCUGAGACAGAAGUGGGUUAAAUGGCUCCUGCCUUUUCCGCUUGAGUAGUGCCAGAAUGCACUGGGGCCCUGGUCAACUCCCAUUUCUCUUACAGUCCUGGCAAUCACUAGCAGUCCUGACACAAUGCAGGGCUGCCCCCACCGCAACUCUUUGAGGAGUAUCUAACUGCAAGCCUCCUUGGCCACCCUCAGCCAUUCUCUCUAGAACCCAGAUGUCUGCACCCACCUGGAAAUGGUCCCUCACCUGGUCUUCUCAUGACUGUGGCUCCCUUCCACGCCUCUGGCUGGUUCAAGGUGUUUCUUACACAGCGCUGGGCAUCUGGGUGGAAGCAUCUGGAGUCUUGAGCACCAAGAGCUCUAAAGAAAGUGAGGUCCAGCCCCAAGGUGGGCAGUUGAGUGGUACUCUGCCCUACCCCAGAGGCUCUGUUAAAGGACAGUGCAUCUGCAUCCCUAGGUGAUAGCACAUGACAUUCCCAGUUCAGUCUCUGGCAUGCCACAGGCUGUGGGGGCAUCAGCCCCACAAGAGAAUGUAGCAGGCAACCGUAUCUACCCUUGAGAGAGUUUCACGAGAAGGUAAGUAGCAGGUCUACUUCUGUGCAUUCCAGACAGCCAGGGACAUGUGAUGUCAGACAGGAUGGAAGCAACAAGACAAGAGACAGAAUGAUGGUGCUGGGGAACUGGAAGAUUGUUUAGCCAGAAGGUGGCAGAAGUCUUGAAGGGGAGGUUAGGAAGGCUGUAGUCAGAGCAACGGUCCUGGGGCAGCGAGUCUGGUGUGAUAAAGAAGCAGAGGGGAGGCUAGUGUGACCUCGAGCAGUCAAAGGACAGUCAGAACAGAGCAAACAUUGGACUUGGUGGGCUCUAGGGAAGAUGUGACUCGAGGUGAGCAGAGACUUCUGGGUAAUGGCAUGGUCCAGCCCAGGUAUCCUGAAAAUCUCUCAAGCUGACUCACCAGGAGAAGAACAUGGAGGAGGUGGGGGUGUCUAUCAUGUGCUAAGGACAUUUGAGGGAGGGCGGCCUCAGGGUGGCUCCUCACCAGGGUCCUUAGUAGGAUCAUUGCUCACCCCAAUGGCUCUGCUCUGAGUGCGUGAGGAACAUCAAGUCACAUAGCCCAGUAAAGGACUGUUUUUUUUGUUUGUUUGUUUUUUCGAGACAGGGUUUCCCUGUAGUUUCUAGAGACUGUCCUGGAACUAGCUAUUGUAGACCAGGCUGGCCUCGAACUCAGAGAUCCGCCUGCCUCUGCCUCCCGAGUGCUGGGAUUAAAGGCGUGCGCCACCACCGCCCGGCAAAGGACUGUUUUAAUCUAUUACAGAGAUCACACAGAAUGGUUAAUUAAUUCAUCCUAAGCCACACAGAUAGAAGACCACGGAGUCCAGAUUUGGACCCAUGUUGUUGGAAACCAGAACCCAGGCUUAAAAGGAAGAUCAUAAUGCCUCCCCUAUAAGAAACUAUUUAUAAAGAUAAUAAAACCCUGGGCCUCCAUCAGGAAGGCGAGCCGCUGGAAGAUGGAUGGAGGUUAGUCUGACUGUGAGCUGCCCCAUCGAUCCAACAGGGAAGAAUUAGUUCGAGUUGGUCUGGGGAGUCCUCUCCCCAUCUCCAUUUUUAUCUUCUGGGAAUGUGGGGAAGGGAGGAUUAGCCACCCAAUGAAACACUGGCUUGGGGAACCUGGAAGAAUGAGCAAGGCAGCUCUGGAAAUGGACUGGUCACAGGCAGGAGAGGUCGGUGGAGGGGACCUUGGAGAAGGGACAUGGAGCUGUUACAGGUUCCCAAGGUACUGGGCAUUUGGGAUGCAGGGCAAUUUAGGAACGUGCCUCCAUUCACACCGACUGUUAGGAGAUCGGUUACUAGUGUAGAAUUAACGUUUGGGCUCUCUGGACCUCAGCUUCUUCACUCUGGUCUUAUAAGAAGGCACCCCGAUCAAGGUCAUGGCGCUGAGACCCGACAAGCUCAGCUAGGAUGGAAACCUGCCAUGGUGGUAACAGGUCCAUCUCUUGGACCACUGAAACCACGUCUAGACCCACAAGGACCCUUCCACAGUAAAGUGGACUCCUGUGCUCCUGUCAGGAACCAGCACUCCUGGGAAUACAAGGGCCCCACAGUGACUGACCAGAGAAAGCCAUGCUCCUUUGCUUGCUCUGUGAAAACCCACCGGUCUCUCUCCAUUCCUUCGUCUAGGUCAGAGAUGUCCCUGCAGACUGGAGGCCCCUGCUCUUGCAGGACCCUGUCUCCCAGGCUCGCCUGACCAUUCAUUGAAAACAACCCCCAGCCCAACCCUCCCCCAUAGGCGGCAGCUUCUCUGCAGGCCCCAGUCUGGCCUGGCCUGCUGCCACUAGCCCACACUGGCCUUGGGCCUCCCUCCGUGAGAAAGUCCCUCCCGGAGGAUUUGCCAUCUUUUGUUCUCGGCUACACUUGCUGUCGUGAGCUGAGUGCUGAAGCAGUCUUUUCCAGUGCAGACCGAGGCUAAGCCAGCCUGCUCAGUCUGGGACCCAUGGGGUCGGGAGACAGGCGGGCUGCAGCGCUGCCCUUGGGGAAUUGGGUCACCCCCUCGAGGACCCCCUCACACAGCUGACAAUAGUGGCUGCACAACUGCUUUGCUGAGGUCACCAGGCUGCCUGUGUUCUAGAGUCCCCUAUCUAAUUCUGAGCCCUGACCAUGAGGUCCCAGGACUGUGGUUCCCCAGUGAGUUCCCCAAAACAUUUGAGAAGCCCCUGCUUUGUUCCCGACCCAGAAGGAAAAAUGUUUCCUUGCUGGUAACCUCUGGGGUGAACCAAUUCCACAUGGGCAUGGCUCAGGUAUGCGCAGGCCAUAGCACAAAGGAACUUCAGGCUAGUGCUAUUAUGUCCCCGUCACCCUCAUGCCAUUAACUGUGUCCUCCUUGUUCAGCCAAGCUUCCAGACGUGUAAACCCAUCAGAGUGCCCACCUUUCAGGCAACCAAAUGGCCAUUGAAGAUGAGUUCGGUGUCCAGCUAAGUGUCCAGAUGUCAGAACACUUGGAGAGGGUUUCUCUGGGUAACAGCUCUGGAUACUAUGGAACUCACUUUGUAGAUCAAAUUGACCUCCCACUCAUAGAUCCGCCUGCCUCUGCUCCACCAGUGCUUCUCACUGAACCUGGUUUGAUGGUUCAGCUAUUCUGGCCAGCCAGCAGCCUCCAGGAACCCAGCUGUCUUCACCUCCCCAGUGCCUGGCUUAUGUGGGUGCUGGAGAGUCAGACCCAGGGCUUUACACUGGCACAGCGAACACUUCAGCAACCGAGCCAUCUCUGUCCCCGAUGGCAGACUUUUAAAUAGAUGGUUGUGUGGCAAUUGAUUAUCUAGACAGAGAGGACAGAUAAUUAAAUUCCCACCUUGAUGUGUGCAGAGCUGCUUUCCAGGUGGGGUAGGUCAAAAGCAUGAAGGAUGCAUCUGCAAAGGUUCAGGGUAACGAAGGCACCUGACAAAGAACAGAUAUCCACAAGGCAUGGACUGCGGAUGACAAGGGCAGACAGGAAGGCAUGCAGGAAGGAUGCCCAGUGACAUGUCGCAGAAGAAAGCUGAGAGCCACCCAGCACUUGAGGAGAUAUCGGUCCCUCACUGUCCAUGGUGGGAAAGUCAACAGGCCCAAUACUGAGGGCCUCUUGCCAGCAGCCACAGCCGCUCUGAAGAUGGUAACUGCUAUCGUGCUUGGAGGACUGUGUUCUAGAGCAGCAAGGAAAGGCCUCAAAGGAAACUUAAUUCAGCCGCUGGGGAGUGGAGUCGGCACAAUGGCUUGGGAAAGCAGCGUGACCCGAUCUAGUGACAUAAACUCAUGUCCAUGCCAUGAGCAGCCACUGCCGCAGUGACCAUGCGCGAGCAGCGGCUUUCCAUGCAUCGAGACGUGUGCUGCUUGUGAGAGGGGAAGUGACACAGAAUAAAUGUUCUCAGUAAAAUG